GGGGGCGCGUGGGUUCGACAGGGGAAGGCCUACAGAAUUGCAGGCUGAGGUGCCACUAACCUCAUAAAACAAGUGGCAAAAAAACAACUGCCGAACCUGUUUACGCGUAAAGGUUCAAUCUAACCCGGACUCUCCUCGAAGUCCGGGAUUAGGGGUAGAAAAAUCGAGGCGCGCCAGUCCUGAUGCUAAUAGGGGCUGGCUAAGGAAAGAUUAGCUGGUCUAGCUGGAUUCGGUCAGCAGAUGAAAGCUAGACGAGAACGAGGGAGCUGACUAAGCCUGUAGCAAAUUCUGGCAACCUUCUUCUGGACGGGGAGUUCAACUCUCCCCCGCCUCCACCA
rnacentral:tmRNA from 1 species